rnacentral:misc_RNA from 1 species
GAUGAAGAACGUAGUGAAAUGCGAUAAGCAAUGUGAAUUGCAGAAUUCAGUGAAUCAUCGAAUCUUUGAACGCACCUUGCGCCCUUUGGCCAUUCCGAAGGGCAUGCCUGUUUGAGUAUCAUGAACACCUCAACUCUCAUGGCUUGCCAUGAUGAGCUUGGACUUUGGGGGUCUUGCUGGCCUGUGGUCGGCUCCUCUCAAAUGAAUCAGCUUGCCAGUGUUUGGUGGCAUCACAAGUGUGAUAACUAUCUGCGCUCGCGGUUUCCAUCAGAUAACCUCCAGUGAUGGAGGUUCGCUGGAGCUCAUAAAUGUCUCUCCUAAGCGAGGACAGCUCUUUUAAUGUUUGAUCUCAAAUCAGGUAGGACUACCCGCUGAACUUAAGCAUAUCAAUAAGCGGAGGA